GCUUCUCGGCCUUUUGGCUAAGAUGAAGUGUAG
rnacentral:miRNA from 1 species